rnacentral:rRNA from 1 species
GUGAGGAAUAUUGGUCAAUGGGCGGGAGCCUGAACCAGCCAAGUCGCGUGAAGGAAGAAGGAUCUAUGGUUCGUAAACUUCUUUUGCAGGGGAAUAAAGUGCAGGACGUGUCCUGUUUUGUAUGUACCCUGAGAAUAAGGAUCGGCUAACUCCGUGCCAGCAGCCGCGGUAAUACGGAGGAUCCGAGCGUUAUCCGGAUUUAUUGGGUUUAAAGGGUGCGUAGGUGGUUUGAUAAGUCAGCGGUGAAAGUUUGCAGCUUAACUGUAAAAAUGCCGUUGAAACUGUCGGACUUGAGUGUAAAUGAGGUAGGCGGAAUGCGUGGUGUAGAGGUGAAAUGCAUAGAUAUCACGCAGAACUCCGAUUGCGAAGGCAGCUUACUAAGCUACAACUGACACUGAAGCACGAAAGCGUGGGGAUCAAACAGGAUUAGAAACCCGGGUAGUCC